ensembl:lncRNA
AUGGGGGGGCGGGGGCGGGGCGGGGGGCGCGAGGGCCCUCGCGCCCCCCGCCCGCCCCCGCCCCCCAUUGGCCGGGCGGCGCGCGCGCGCGCCCCCCGCCGCCGGGGCACCUCACGGAGCGCCCCCCCCGUUCCCCCCCCCCACACCGGGAGCGCGGCCGGUUCCGAGGUGGUGGGGGGGAGGGAGGUGUCUCACCUUAGCGCUCAGCUCCGCCGGUGCCUCCUCAACGCGUUUUUCCGACAUCCUGGCCCCCCGGGUUGCGAAGGGAAGAGGCCGGUGGGAAGCGGUGCGAGGGAGGGCGAGGACGAGAAAGGGUCAGCGGCGGAAGCGCAAAGUCCCAGCGGUCCGCAAGCGGCGGCAGGGGAUUUAUACAGCGCCGGUGACGAGGAAGGAGGGACCUGGGGAGGGAGGAGAGAGGGACGGGAGGCGGAGGAGGGAGGGGAGAGGGACGGGCUGCUAGAACAAUGUGCGCUCAGCCGCGGCCGCCCGGCAGCGGGGGCGCACCGCGGGUCCCCGCAAGACGCCGCACGGCCCCGUCGAGGCCAGCCGAAAGCCCCGCUCCGCGCCGAGGUGCCGCGGCUCCGACGGGAAGUGUCCGGCGAGGGGAGCCGAGCCCUCCGGCCGCAGCACGCCCUGGGAGCCGCCCGUACAAGCUGACUGGCUCUCCAGGAGGAAUCCGGGGGAGGCGAGAAGCGGCGCUGCGGGGCCGUGUGGGAGGGCAGCGCUGGCGACACGCGGCCUCCUGCCUGGAAUUUUCCACUCCAGCUGCCCGCCCUUCCUCCCGCUGGAAGCGCUCCCAGCGGCGGGGCUCCUCCCGCCCCUCCCCUUCUUCUCCCCCCGCCUGCCCGCCCGGCGCUGGCCGCUUUUCCCGCGCUCUGCGCGCGCGGCGGAGAGGCGGGCGGGGCCUCGGGCAGCGGGUGGGCGGCGCUUCGCGGAGGGAGUGGGCGGGGCAGGCGGCGGGGGAGCGGAUUAGCGCUCGCAUACCCCGGGCCCCAUAUAAGGAGGGGCUGGGGCUGGGCCGCCUGAUUGGGCCAUUCAAAUGAGCUCUCUGCCUGGCAACAGGUUUCCCAUUGGCUGGCGGCGGCCGGCGGGGGCGCGGGGCGCUUUGGUGCAGUGCGAGGCGGGAGGGGCGCUGGCACGUGGGGCGGCGGGACGGCGCGCGAGGGCGCGGGUGUUGUCCCGCCGGGCUCGGCUCCCACCCGCCCGGGACACACAUCCACCCGGGACCCGCAUCCACCCGGGACCCCCGUCCCGGCCACCGGCCGGGCGGUGCACGGUGUGCGACACCGAUCCCUGCCGCCCGCCCACCCGCCUGCCUCGGCCCUGGACUGUGGCAGACAUUCUGCCAGUGCCUCCUUCCGGGCUGGGAAGGAUCAUCGCCCAGCUCCGGGUCUCCCUUUAGCCAAAGGUCCUUCCUGCAGAACCGCAGGUGGUGACUUGCAACUGCAGGGAUUUGUUGCUAAUAAAACAGAUGUUCCUGUAGCUGCUCUUCAGCCCUUUGGUUACCAGGUUGUGCAGACUGGGAUGACUAAAUUCCUUUCACCUUUCCCACAAGGUUUAUAUUGUCUUGCUCUUAGUCACAGGCUCAUUCAAAAGAAAAAAUAAAUCCGCACACAUUUGCGGGCCUACAUACAUACAAAACUAGGCGUGCACGUGAGGACAUACAGAGGUACACGUGUACGCAGUCAUUCUCACAGGUACAAGGCAAGGUUAUUAAUCCAUCUGGUUGGAAAAUGUAUUGAGGUACGCAAGCCCUUCUUGUCCUUCAGAUACAAACUCAGCCUCUGUGCAAAGCCAGGAUUUAGAGCUGGUGCUCUUGAGUUUAAUUGAAUGUGUCUCAGUUCGAGCAUUUAACAGCAAAAGCCAUUUGUAUUUGUGGAACAUAGGGCCCUGAGUAUGUAUGUCCUGUAGGAAAGAUACUGGAUAAAUUAUAAUCUGUGUGACAGGGAGGUAGAAGCUACCCAGCUUGUUGUCUCGUCUCCUCCACAGCUACAGCUGCUUCUCUCAUGAUCUGACUGACUGAUGUUCUUCGCAGCUAUACACAGUGCAGAGUGCCUGCCCCAAAAAACAGUCCUGUAACUCAGACGCACACAUCUAGACUAGUACCAAAAUAAACCAAAUUAUGAAAAUGCAUGCACUAAUUUUUUUCCCCCCUACUGUUUCACAAAACCGAUCUGGCCAAUUUCUCAGGUCUAGCUGCUAUCAGCAUUCCAGCCCUGGUUUGGUACAAGUACUCCUCUUUCAUCCUUCCAUUUCACAAGAAGAAAAUCUUAAUUUCUAGAUAUACACCUAAAAUAGGAACCAAAAUAAUCUAUAUAGUGGCCAGAUGUUGUUCCUCUCUGCUUCUGCUUGUCAGAAGGUGCGUGGCUCAUUGCUCUGCUGUUCUCCUCACCAAUCCAGAAUUUAUUUUCCAGGAUCCUUUUCCUUUACACACUCUACCACUGAAAACACAUAAUUACAUUGACACAUAUCCCUUGGCAAAGACAUCUUCACAUAAUGCACAAACAGGCCUUGACACAACAUCCUAGAGGGGAGAAAGCAAAGGAUUAUGUUCAGAGAUGUUCCCGUGCCCAAAGCUCCAUGUUGUCACAGACUGCGCACCCACAGAUGCAAAUUGACAAACACCUGUUUGUGCAAGGGGAGUUUGUUUCCAGCUACCUGUGGGAUGGAGCUGUUGGGUCAGUACUACAAACUGGCAUGGCAGCAGCAAGCUCUCCUUUCUUCCCCAGCACCUGCUGUGUGCAACCUCCUAUUGUCACUUCCAUGCUCCCCACCCCAUCCCCUUUGCAAUUUUUCCCUCAUCUGCAGCUUCUUGGCAUUUGUCUCCUACCUGUGUUCUUGGCAGCACUCUUCCCAUGGCCCUCUCCCCGGCUUCUCUUUGUGACAUCCUGUAUCUUACAUACAAAAUUCAUUUCACAUCCCCUCCUUUGAUUUUCACGUCCCAUUUUGCCCUGCAUUAUUGUAUCAGCUAUGCUUUUCCCCUGAAAUCCAACAUGAAAUUCUUCUUCAUUCCUUGUCACCUGCCUGUUUCUGCAUUCUGACUCUUGUUGCCCUUUGGGUCCCAAUGGUGAGAUUCGCUGGGCUUCUAGUGUGCAGCUGCUUCCCUCAAGCCCUGAGGGUAUCCAUUGACUGUCUCACCUUCUUCCCUGUGACUUCUGCUCCUCCACCUGAUCUGUGCCACUCUGCAUUUCGCCUGCCAGAUCGAUCUGCAGCUUUUCUCUGCUCCUCUCUCCCAUCUGUGCCUUCCCCUCUGCUGCAAACGCAAGUACACUCAUUGUGCGCUCUGCAGAUGUCAGUCCCUGCUCAGUGCGUUCUGUAGUCUUUGUCUGUAGUUGCUUUGCCAGCUCAGCAGAAUAUAUUCCAUCCUUUUUGGAGACUUAUGUCCUUAGACAAAAUGAGGGAGGUGCAGAAGUUACAUGACAGAUCAUUGUGUGGAACAGACACUCUCCGUGUCUGCCUGCAGCCCAGACAACAAUGGGAAUGUAAUUUUCUCCGUACAAUGUCACAAUUUUGGUGCUGUACCCUGUUUGUGCUUGGUGUUUAUGUGGGUGUGCGCAUGUGUUUAGGUGCAGUACAUACCUGUUUGUGUACAGAGGGGAUAUUUUCCCUCUGUUACAUUCUUUUACUUUUGUGAGUGUGGAAAGUAUGGUACUUUUCUACUGAG